rnacentral:rRNA from 1 species
GUGGGGAAUUUUGCGCAAUGGGCGAAAGCCUGACGCAGCGACGCCGCGUGGGUGAUGAAGGCCUUCGGGUUGUAAAACCCUGUGGGGAGGGAAGAAUAAGGGACGGCGAAUACCCGUCCUGAUGACGGUACCUCCUUAGCAAGCACCGGCUAACUCUGUGCCAGCAGCCGCGGUAAGACAGAGGGUGCGAACGUUGUUCGGAAUUACUGGGCGUAAAGCGCGUGUAGGCGGCUUCGCAAGUCGGGUGUGAAAGCCCUUGGCUCAACUGAGGAAGUGCACUCGAAACUGCGUCGCUUGAGUCCUGGAGAGGAUGGUGGAAUUCUCGGUGUAGAGGUGAAAUUCGUAGAUAUCGAGAGGAACACCGGUGGCGAAGGCGGCCAUCUGGACAGUGACUGACGCUGAGACGCGAAAGCGUGGGUAGCAAACAGGAUUAGAAACCCCAGUAGUCC